rnacentral:tRNA from 1 species
CCCCCGGUAGCUCAGCCUGGAAGAGCGUCCGGCUGUAGACCGGAUGGUCGCCGGUUCAAAUCCGGCCCGGGGGACCA